rnacentral:rRNA from 1 species
AUUGAACGCUGGCGGCAGGCCUAACACAUGCAAGUCGAACGAGUGGCGGACGGGUGAGUAAUGUCUGGGAAACUGCCUGAUGGCGGGGGAUAACUACUGGAAACGGUAGCUAAUACCGCAUACCAUCGGAUGUGCCCCGAUGGGAUUAGCUAGUAGGUGGGGUAAAGGCUCACCUAGGCGACGAUCCCUAGCUGGUCUGAUAGGAUGACCAGCCACACUGGAACGGAGGAACGGGCCAGACGCCUACGGGAGGCAGCAGUGGGGAAUAGUGCACAAGGGGCGCAAGCCUGAUGAAGCCAUGCCGCGUGGAUGAAGAAGGCCUGCGGGUUGUAAAGUACUUUCAGCGGGGAGGCGUUACCCGCAGAAGAAGCACCGGCUAACUCCGUGCCAGCCGCCGCGGUAAUAC